UGGGGAAUAUUGCACAAUGGGCGCAAGCCUGAUGCAGCCAUGCCGCGUGUGUGAAGAAGGCCUUCGGGUUGUAAAGCACUUUCAGCGAGGAGGAAGGUGGUGGACUUAAUACGUUCAUCAAUUGACGUUACUCGCAGAAGAAGCACCGGCUAACUCCGUGCCAGCAGCCGCGGUAAUACGGAGGGUGCAAGCGUUAAUCGGAAUUACUGGGCGUAAAGCGCACGCAGGCGGUUUGUUAAGUCAGAUGUGAAAUCCCCGGGCUCAACCUGGGAACUGCAUUUGAAACUGGCAAGCUAGAGUCUCGUAGAGGGGGGUAGAAUUCCAGGUGUAGCGGUGAAAUGCGUAGAGAUCUGGAGGAAUACCGGUGGCGAAGGCGGCCCCCUGGACGAAGACUGACGCUCAGGUGCGAAAGCGUGGGGAGCAAACAGGAUUAGAUACCCCUGGUAGUCCACGCUGUAAACGAUGUCGAUUUUGGAGGUUGUGCCCUUGAGGCGUGGCUUCCGGAGCUAACGCGUUAAAUCGACCGCCUGGGGAGUACGGCCGCAAGGUU
rnacentral:rRNA from 1 species